AGAGUUUGAUCAUGGCUCAGGAUGAACGCUGGCGGCGUGCUAACACAUGCAAGUCGAGCGAUUCUCUUCGGAGAAGAGCGGCGGACGGGUGAGUAACGCGUGGGUAACCUGCCUCAUACACAUGGAUAACAUACCGAAAGGUAUGCUAAUACAAGAUGAUAUAAGAGAUUCGCAUGGAUUUCUUAUCAAAGCUCCGGCGGUAUGAGAUGGACCCGCGUCUGAUUAGCUAGUUGGUAAGGUAACGGCUUACCAAGGCGACGAUCAGUAGCCGACCUGAGAGGGUGAUCGGCCACAUUGGAACUGAGACACGGCCCAAACUCCUACGGGAGGCAGCAGUGGGGAAUAUUGCACAGUGGGCGAAAGCCUGAUGCAGCAACGCCGCGUGAGCGAUGAAGGCCUUCGGGUCGUAAAGCUCUGUCCUCAAGGAAGAUAAUGACGGUACUUAAGGAGGAAGCCCCGGCUAACUACGUGCCAGCAGCCGCGGUAAUACGUAGGGGGCUAGCGUUAUCCGGAUUUACUGGGCGUAAAGGGUGCGUAGGUGGUUUCUUAAGUCAGGAGUGAAAGGCUACGGCUCAACCGUAGUAAGCUCUUGAAACUGGGAAACUUGAGUGCAGGAGAGGAAAGUGGAAUUCCUAGUGUAGCGGUGAAAUGCGUAGAUAUUAGGAGGAACACCAGUAGCGAAGGCGGCUUUCUGGACUGUAACUGACACUGAGGCACGAAAGCGUGGGGAGCAAACAGGAUUAGAUACCCUGGUAGUCCACGCCGUAAACGAUGAGUACUAGGUGUCGGGGGUUACCCCCCUCGGUGCCGCAGCUAACGCAUUAAGUACUCCGCCUGGGGAGUACGCUCGCAAGAGUGAAACUCAAAGGAAUUGACGG
rnacentral:rRNA from 1 species